rnacentral:rRNA from 1 species
UACAGAGGUCCCAAGCGUUACUGAGAAUCACUGGGUUUAAAGGGCGCGUAGGCGGACAGUUUAGUCAGAGGUGAAAGCCCAGGGCUCAACCUUGGAAUUGCCUUUGAUACUGGCUGUCUUGAGUUCGGGAGAGGUGAGUGGAAUGCCGAGUGUAGAGGUGAAAUUCGUAGAUAUUCGGCGGAACACCAGUGGCGAAGGCGACUCACUGGCCCGAUACUGACGCUGAGGCGCGAAAGCGUGGGGAGCAAACAGG